rnacentral:rRNA from 1 species
GAUGAACGCUAGCUACAGGCUUAACACAUGCAAGUCGCGGGGUAACAUCUGGGAGAGCUUGCUCUUCCAGGAUGACGACCGGCGCACGGGUGAGUAACGCGUAUCCAACCUGGCCCAUACCACGGGAUAGCCCGUCGAAAGGCGGAUUAAUACCGUAUGCUGUCAUUAAGAGGCAUUUUUUGAUGACGAAAGGACUGGCGGUAUGGGAUGGGGAUGCGUCUGAUUAGCUUGUUGGCGGGGUAACGGCCCACCAAGGCGACGAUCAGUAGGGGUUCUGAGAGGAAGGUCCCCCACAUUGGAACUGAGACACGGUCCAAACUCCUACGGGAGGCAGCAGUGAGGAAUAUUGGUCAAUGGGCGCAAGCCUGAACCAGCCAAGUAGCGUGAGGGAAGACUGCCCUACGGGUUGUAAACCUCUUUUGUUUGGGAAUAAAGUGCGGGACGUGUCCCGNAUUGCAUGUACCAUUUGAAUAAGGACCGGCUAAUUCCGUG